rnacentral:rRNA from 1 species
AUGGAGAGACUUGUUAAUGUUCAUUACAUGGACAAGGAGGCAUUCUUGAGUAACAAUGCUGACACGGGUGAGGAACCAUUGGUUUCUGAUACAAGCCCUAGCUAUGAGGAUGUUGUUGCACAAGUGAGACAAGUCUUGAAGUGGAUGGACACCAAUGUUGAUGUUAAAUUAAUAGGAAGGUAUGAUGUUGGAGUUGGAGCCAAAUCUCGCUUGAAAAGUAUGCCUAUCACCUCGGAUUUGCAUUGGGAUGUAUACAAGGAAAAAGUAUCCCAAUCGGAAGACAAGUCACUUGAAUUGUUUGCCACCAAGGUUGAAUCUCCUCAGUUUACCUUUGAUUUGAACCGGCAUGUCUCUUCCCCAAUGGAUGACAUGAGCGUUGAGUUGUAUGCCCCCAAUGCUUCUAGCCAACCACCAACUAGCCAAGCAAAUGAAGUUGAGGUGAUUGCUAGUGACGGAGUAAUUCAAGAGGAUGAAGAUGCUUAUGAUGACGACGAAGAGCAAGAGGAAGGGUUUCAUGGUAAUGAUGUUGGUGACUUGGAUGCGUACAUAGCGCAAAAGGACAUGGAUCGUGACUUGCCUUUUAGGCGUCAAUAUGCGUAUGACUCGGAUGACGAGGGUCCAGUUGAACAGUUGGACGAGGAUGGAUUCACAAAGGACGAGAACCAAAUCCACUUUGAGCUGACGGGCUUACAAAAAAACUCACUUGUUUAA